UUCCUUUGAGUUUCAGCCUUGCGACCAUACUCCCCAGGCGGAACACUUAACGCUUUCGCUACGGCCGAGAGGAUGUGGAAGUCCCCUCAACCCAGUGUUCAUCGUUUACGGCUAGGACUACCGGGGUAUCUAAUCCCGUUCGCUACCCUAGCUUUCGUGCCUCAGCGUCAGAAAAGAUCCAGUGAUGCGCUUUCGCCACCGGUGUUCCCUAUGAUAUCAACGCAUUUCACCGCUCCACCAUAAGUUCCCAUCACCCCUAUCUUCCUCGAGCUUGGGGGUUUGAAACGCAAUUCCACGGUUGAGCCGUGGGCUUUCACAUCUCACCUACCAAGCCGCCUACGCACGCUUUAAGCCCAGUGAUACCGAAUAACGUUUGGACGGUUCGUCUUACCGCGGCUGCUGGCACGAACUUAGCCCGUCCUUCCUCUGAAGAUCGGUCAACCAUGAGAAAUAACUCUCAUGGACUUCCUAACUACUGACAGCGGUUUACAACCCGAGGGCCUUCAUCCCGCACGCGGCGUCGCUCGGUCAGACUUUCGUCCAUUGCCGA
rnacentral:rRNA from 1 species